rnacentral:tRNA from 1 species
GUUAAGAUAGUUUAUAAAACAUUAGCCUGUGGAGCUAAAAAUGCAAAACUUAUUGCUCAUAAC